GACGAACGCUGGCGGCGUGCCUAAUACAUGCAAGUCGAGCGGACGUUUUAUUGGUGCUUGCACCGAUUUAACGUUAGCGGCGGACGGGUGAGUAACACGUGGGCAACCUGCCCUGUAGAUUGGGAUAACUCCGGGAAACCGGGGCUAAUACCGGAUAAUACUUUUUAACUCAUGUUAGAAAGUUGAAAGAUGGUUCUGCUAUCGCUACAGGAUGGGCCCGCGGCGCAUUAGCUAGUUGGUGAGGUAACGGCUCACCAAGGCGACGAUGCGUAGCCGACCUGAGAGGGUGAUCGGCCACACUGGGACUGAGACACGGCCCAGACUCCUACGGGAGGCAGCAGUAGGGAAUCUUCCACAAUGGGCGAAAGCCUGAUGGAGCAACGCCGCGUGAGUGAAGAAGGAUUUCGGUUCGUAAAACUCUGUUGUAAGGGAAGAACAAGUACAGUAGUAACUGGCUGUACCUUGACGGUACCUUAUUAGAAAGCCACGGCUAACUACGUG
rnacentral:rRNA from 1 species